UCGAAAUGUAUCUCUUCCACAUA
rnacentral:miRNA from 1 species